GCCGCCAUCUUUCCUCCUGUGUUGCUGCUCCACGCUACCGCUGGUGAGGAGAGAAGCCAAGAUGUCUGCAGAUUUGUGCUGGCAGAUCAUAAGAGGUAAUCAUUCUCAUCUCCUUAAAAGAGGAAUGUCAAGAAACCAUUUUCCACUAAUGUGGAGUGCAGUGAGUGAGUCCCUUAGUAGCCUGGAGGCUGUAAAGAAGGUCGGAGGGAUGUAGCACGCUGAGAUUUGGCACGCCACUUCUGUAGAGUUUCACACCAAAACAAAAUAAAAAAAAAAAA